CCUACGGGGGGCAGCAGUGGGGGAUAUUGCACAAUGGGGGAAACCCUGAUGCAGCGACGCCGCGGGGGUGAAGAAGCGCCUCGGCGCGUAAAGCCCUGUCAGCAGGGAAGAAAAUGACGGUACCUGAAGAAGAAGCCCCGGCUAACCACGUGCCAGCAGCCGCGGUAAUACGUAGGGGGCAAGCGUUAUCCGGAUUUACUGGGGGUAAAGGGGGCGCAGACGGCGAUGCAAGCCAGGAGUGAAAGCCCGGGGCCCAACCCCGGGACUGCUCUUGGAACGGCGUGGUGAGAGUGCAGGAGGGGCAGGCGGAAUUCCUGGUGUAGCGGUGAAAUGCGUAGAUAUCAGGAGGAACACCGGUGGCGAAGGCGGCCUGCUGGACUGCAACUGACGUUGAGGCCCGAAAGCGUGGGGAGCAAACAGGAUUAGAUACCCGAGUAGUC
rnacentral:rRNA from 1 species